rnacentral:rRNA from 1 species
UUGACCUCGGAUCAGGUAGGGAUACCCGCUGAACUUAAGCAUAUCAAUAAGCGGAGGAAAAGAAACCAACAGGGAUUGCCCUAGUAACGGCGAGUGAAGCGGCAACAGCUCAAAUUUGAAAUCUGGCGCAAGCCCGAGUUGUAAUUUGUAGAGGAUGCUUCAGGGCAGCGGCCGGUCUAAGUUCCUUGGAACAGGACGUCAUAGAGGGUGAGAAUCCCGUAUGCGACCGGUUGGCACCCGUCACGUAGCUCCUUCGACGAGUCGAGUUGUUUGGGAAUGCAGCUCUAAAUGGGAGGUAAAUUUCUUCUAAAGCUAAAUACCGGCCAGAGACCGAUAGCGCACAAGUAGAGUGAUCGAAAGAUGAAAAGCACUUUGGAAAGAGAGUUAAAAAGCACGUGAAAUUGUUGAAAGGGAAGCGCAUGCAACCAGACUUGUCGGCGGUGUUCCGCCGGUCUUCUGACCGGUCUACUCGCCGCCGGCAGGCCAGCAUCAUCUGGGCGCGCCGGACAAAGGCGCGGGGAAUGUGGCUCCUCGGAGUGUUAUAGCCCCGCGCACAAUACGGCGCCGCUCGGGUGAGGUCCGCGCUUCGGCUAGGAUGCUGGCGUAAUGGUUGUCUGCGGCCCGUCUUGAAACACGGACCAAGGAGUCUAACAUCUAUGCGAGUGUUCGGGUGUCAAACCCCUACGCGUAAUGAAAGUGAACGGAGGUGGGAAGCGCAAGCUGCACCAUCGACCGAUCCUGAUGUCUUCGGAUGGAUUUGAGUAAGAGCAUAGCUGUUGGGACCCGAAAGAUGGUGAACUAUGCCUGAAUAGGGUGAAGCCAGAGGAAACUCUGGUGGAGGCUCGCAGCGGUUCUGACGUGCAAAUCGAUCGUCAAAUUUGGGUAUAGGGGCGAAAGACUAAUCGAACAUC